GAUGAACGCUAGCGACAGGCCUAACACAUGCAAGUCGAGGGGCAGCGGGGAGGUAACAAUACCUUUGCCGGCGACCGGCGCACGGGUGAGUAACACGUAUGCAAUCCACCUGUAACAGGGGGAUAACCCGGAGAAAUCCGGACUAAUACCCCAUGAUAUGGGCUCUCCGCAUGGGGGGGUCCAUUAAAGAGAGCAAUCUUGGUUACAGACGAGCAUGCGCUCCAUUAGCCAGUUGGCGGGGUAACGGCCCACCAAGGCGACGAUGGAUAGGGGUUCUGAGAGGAAGGUCCCCCANAUUGGUACUGAGACACGGACCAAACUCCUACGGGAGGCAGCAGUGAGGAAUAUUGGUCAAUGGCCGAGAGGCUGAACCAGCCAAGUCGCGUGAAGGAAGAAGGAUCUAUGGUUUGUAAACUUCUUUUAUAGGGGAAUAAAGUGGAGGACGUGUCCUUUUUUGUAUGUACCCUAUGAAUAAGCAUCGGCUAACUCCGUGCCAGCAGCCGCGGU
rnacentral:rRNA from 1 species